CGCGCGGGAGGGGCGGGGCCACGCUGCGGGCCCGGGCCAUGGCCGCCGCCGAUGCCGAGAGACGAGGUUUUUGCCAUGUUGCCCAGGCUGGUCUCAAACUCCUGGACUCAAGCAAUCUGCCCGCCUUGGCCUCCCAAAGUGCUGUGAUUACAGAGGCAGUUCCGGCGAGGGGGGAGCCUCAGCAGGAUUGCUGUGUGAAAACCGAGCUGCUGGGAGAAGCAGAGACACCUAUGGCUGCCGAUGAAGGCUCAGCAGAGAAACAGGCAGGAGAGGCCCACAUGGCUGCGGACGGUGAGACCAAUGGGUCUUGUGAAAACAGCGAUGCCAGCAGUCAUGCAAAUGCUGCAAAGCACACUCAGGACAGCGCAAGGGUCAACCCCCAGGAUGGCACCAACACUCUAACCCGGAUAGCGGAAAACGGGGUUUCAGAAAGAGACUCAGAAGCGGGGAAGCAAAACCACGUCACUGCCGAUGACUUUGUGCAGACUUCUGUCAUCGGCAGCAACGGAUACAUCUUAAAUAAGCCGGCCCUACAGGCACAGCCCUUGAGGACUACCAGCACUCUGGCCUCUUCGCUGCCUGGCCAUGCUGCAAAAACCCUUCCUGGAGGGGCUGGCAAAGGCAGGACUCCAAGCGCUUUUCCCCAGACGCCAGCCGCCCCACCAGCCACCCUUGGGGAGGGGAGUGCUGACACAGAGGACAGGAAGCUCCCGGCCCCUGGCGCCGACGUCAAGGUCCACAGGGCACGCAAGACCAUGCCGAAGUCCGUCGUGGGCCUGCAUGCAGCCAGUAAAGAUCCCAGAGAAGUUCGAGAAGCUAGAGAUCAUAAGGAACCAAAAGAGGAGAUCAACAAAAACAUUUCUGACUUUGGACGACAGCAGCUUUUACCCCCCUUCCCAUCCCUUCAUCAGUCGCUACCUCAGAACCAGUGCUACAUGGCCACCACAAAAUCACAGACAGCUUGCUUGCCUUUUGUUUUAGCAGCUGCAGUAUCUCGGAAGAAAAAACGAAGAAUGGGAACCUAUAGCCUGGUUCCUAAGAAAAAGACCAAAGUAUUAAAACAGAGGACGGUGAUUGAGAUGUUUAAGAGCAUAACUCAUUCCACUGUGGGUUCCAAGGGGGAGAAGGACCUGGGCGCCAGCAGCCUGCACGUGAAUGGGGAGAGCCUGGAGAUGGACUCGGAUGAGGACGACUCAGAGGAGCUCGAGGAGGAUGACAGCCAUGGCGCAGAGCAGGCGGCCGCGUUCCCCACAGAGGACAGCAGGACUUCCAAGGAGAGCAUGUCGGAGGCUGAUCGCGCCCAGAAGAUGGACGGGGAGUCCGAGGAGGAGCAGGAGUCCGUGGACACCGGGGAGGAGGAGGAAGGCGGUGACGAGUCUGACCUGAGUUCGGAAUCCAGCAUUAAGAAGAAAUUUCUCAAGAGGAAAGGAAAGACCGACAGUCCCUGGAUCAAGCCAGCCAGGAAAAGGAGGCGGAGAAGUAGAAAGAAGCCCAGCGGUGCCCUCGGUUCUGAGUCGUAUAAGUCAUCUGCAGGAAGCGCUGAGCAGACGGCACCAGGAGACAGCACAGGGUACAUGGAAGUUUCUCUGGACUCCCUGGAUCUCCGAGUCAAAGGAAUUCUGUCUUCACAAGCAGAAGGGUUGGCCAACGGUCCAGAUGUGCUGGAGACAGACGGCCUCCAGGAAGUGCCUCUCUGCAGCUGCCGGAUGGAAACACCGAAGAGUCGAGAGAUCACCACGCUGGCCAACAACCAGUGCAUGGCUACAGAGAGCGUGGACCAUGAAUUGGGCCGGUGCACAAACAGCGUGGUCAAGUAUGAGCUGAUGCGCCCCUCCAACAAGGCCCCGCUCCUCGUGCUGUGUGAAGACCACCGGGGCCGCAUGGUGAAGCACCAGUGCUGUCCUGGCUGUGGCUACUUCUGCACAGCGGGUAAUUUUAUGGAGUGUCAGCCCGAGAGCAGCAUCUCUCACCGUUUCCACAAAGACUGUGCCUCUCGAGUCAAUAACGCCAGCUAUUGUCCCCACUGUGGGGAGGAGAGCUCCAAGGCCAAAGAGGUGACGAUAGCUAAAGCAGACACCACCUCGACCGUGACACCAGUCCCCGGGCAGGAGAAGGGCUCGGCCCUGGAGGGCAGGGCCGACACCACAACGGGCAGUGCUGCCGGGCCACCGCUCUCGGAGGACGACAAGCUGCAGGGUACAGCCUCCCACGUGCCCGAGGGCUUUGAUCCAACGGGACCUGCUGGGCUUGGGAGGCCAACUCCCGGCCUUUCCCAGGGACCAGGGAAGGAAACCUUGGAGAGCGCUCUCAUCGCCCUCGACUCGGAAAAACCCAAGAAGCUUCGCUUCCACCCAAAGCAGCUGUACUUCUCCGCCAGGCAAGGGGAGCUUCAGAAGGUGCUCCUCAUGCUGGUGGACGGAAUUGACCCCAACUUCAAAAUGGAGCACCAGAAUAAGCGCUCUCCACUGCACGCCGCGGCAGAGGCUGGACACGUGGACAUCUGCCACAUGCUGGUUCAGGCGGGCGCUAAUAUUGACACCUGCUCAGAAGACCAGAGGACCCCGUUGAUGGAAGCAGCCGAAAACAACCAUCUGGAAGCAGUGAAGUACCUCAUCAAGGCCGGGGCCCUGGUGGAUCCCAAGGAUGCAGAGGGCUCUACGUGUUUGCACCUAGCUGCCAAGAAAGGCCACUACGAAGUGGUCCAGUACCUGCUUUCAAAUGGACAGAUGGACGUCAACUGUCAGGAUGACGGAGGCUGGACACCCAUGAUCUGGGCCACGGAGUACAAGCACGUGGACCUCGUGAAGCUGCUGCUGUCCAAGGGCUCUGACAUCAACAUCCGGGACAACGAGGAGAACAUUUGCCUGCACUGGGCGGCGUUCUCCGGCUGCGUGGACAUAGCCGAGAUCCUGCUGGCUGCCAAGUGUGACCUCCACGCCGUGAACAUCCACGGAGACUCACCACUGCACAUUGCCGCCCGGGAGAACCGCUACGACUGUGUCGUCCUCUUUCUUUCUCGGGAUUCAGAUGUCACCUUAAAGAACAAGGAAGGAGAGACGCCCCUGCAGUGUGCGAGCCUCAACUCUCAGGUGUGGAGCGCUCUGCAGAUGAGCAAGGCUCUGCAGGACUCGGCCCCCGACAGGCCCAGCCCCGUGGAGAGGAUAGUGAGCAGGGACAUCGCUCGAGGCUACGAGCGCAUCCCCAUCCCCUGUGUCAACGCCGUGGACAGCGAGCCAUGCCCCAGCAACUACAAGUACGUCUCUCAGAACUGCGUGACGUCCCCCAUGAACAUCGACAGAAAUAUCACUCAUCUGCAGUACUGCGUGUGCAUCGACGACUGCUCCUCCAGCAACUGCAUGUGCGGCCAGCUCAGCAUGCGCUGCUGGUACGACAAGGUGAGGGCGGCCUCGUGUGCGUGGGCUCAGGUGGUAAGUGCCGCUGGUCCGGGCCUGCAAACACAGUGCAGGCAUCUGGGACCCCAGCGCUGUCGUGGCAGCGUCGGGAAGGAGUUGGAGGUGAGCUGGGUGUGACAGGCAGGGGAGGCACAGCGGGCACCAGCACCCGAGUCGGGGUCGCGAGCCGAGGACGUGGCUGCGGAGUCCCUGGGGCUGGGGUCUGCAUCCUUCGUGGCUGCCUGGAUGGUGGCGGGGGUGGGCAGCGUCAGCCUGGCUUGGCCCCAGGAGGAGGUGCUGCUUGUGUUGUGUGUAUCUGGUAAGCUGUGCCUUGUGCUUGCUGAGUGUGAGGGGUGUGAAGAGGGAGGGUGCUGCCGGGCUGGGUACAGGGAGCAUCAGUGUGGGCGCUGGGCUUGAGGAGACACAGGAUUGGAAGUUUCUGGUGGGUGCUGGUCCUCGGAGGAGCCCAGGUUGGAGGCUGCUGAGGAGGAGAUGGGAGUGGGGAGUAGCCCUGGCUAGCAGGGGUGCAAUUCAGGGGAGGGAUGUCUAAGCAGAGGCGGAGAGUUCCUGGUCUCCCAAGUUCAGAGGUCACGGUGGGGGCGGAAGCCAGCAUGGCCUGGGUAAAGAGACGCGAGCAGGGAGAGGCAGCAGGCGUCCCCUCUUGGAAGCAGACUUUGGAGGAGAGUGGACAUGGAGGGUCAAGUGUUUACCCAUCUGAAUUAGAGGCCCCAAUGGGAAAAGGAUUCGUGCCAGUGAGGGCUAUGGAGAUGGCAGGCUCAGAAAGCCACCAAGCUCAUGUCCGAGUGGUGUCUUUUCAGGUGGACAGUCUUGCUGAGGGGGCGCAGGAAGGAAUGUUCUGAGGAGCGCCCUAAUUGUUCAGAGCAGCCCCUGAAGCCGUCAAGCCAGAGUGUGCCUGGGCAGCCCUGGGCCCCGCGCCUCAGCUCACACAGCCCUGGGGGAGAAUCUGCACCCAGUGCUGCUGUACCUGGCCUGGCUUCAGGGGGGUAGAAAGGGGAGCAGAGGGCUGGGUCCCUCCACAGUUGAGGAUUUGCAAGGCAAGGAGGCCAGGAGUGCAGGAGGGUGCAGGAGGCCCCAACCAGCUGAAGGAAGCAGAGCAACCCAGGAGCUGGCAGCCUUGGCGAGGCUGGAGAAGCCCAGGCUGGGCCUAGGGGAGCGCUCCAGGGGGUCUCCACAACCUGUGUGGGCAUCUGGGUGGAGGCUUCUCAUCCAAACCGUACACAUGGAGUUUUUCCCUAGGAUGGCCGGCUCCUGCCAGAGUUCAACAUGGCGGAGCCUCCCUUGAUCUUCGAAUGCAACCACGCGUGCUCCUGCUGGAGGAACUGCCGAAAUCGCGUCGUACAGAAUGGUCUCAGGGCAAGGCUGCAGCUCUACCGGACGCGGGACAUGGGCUGGGGCGUGCGGUCCCUGCAGGACAUCCCACUAGGCACCUUUGUCUGCGAGUAUGUUGGGGAGCUGAUUUCAGACUCAGAAGCCGACGUUCGAGAGGAAGAUUCUUACCUCUUUGAUCUCGACAAUAAGGACGGGGAGGUUUACUGCAUCGACGCGCGGUUCUACGGGAACGUCAGCCGGUUCAUCAACCACCACUGCGAGCCCAACCUGGUGCCCGUGCGCGUGUUCAUGGCCCACCAGGACCUGCGGUUCCCCCGGAUCGCCUUCUUCAGCACCCGCCUGAUCGAGGCCGGCGAGCAGCUCGGGUUUGACUAUGGAGAGCGCUUCUGGGACAUCAAAGGCAGGCUCUUCAGCUGCCGCUGCGGCUCCCCCAAGUGCCGGCACUCGAGCGCGGCCCUGGCCCAGCGUCAGGCCAGCGCGGCCCAGGAGGCCCAGGAGGACGGCUUGCCCGACACCAGCUCCGCGGCUGCCGCCGACCCCCUAUGAGACGCCGCCGGCCAGCGGGGCGCUCGGGAGCCAGGGACCGCCGCGUCGCCGUUUAGAGGACGAGGAGGAGAGAUUCCGCACGGAACCGAAAGGGUCCUUCGGGGCUGCGCCGCCGGCUUCCUGGAGGGGUCGGAGGUGAGGCUGCAGCCCCUGCGGGCGGGUGUGGAUGCCUCCCAGCCACCUUCCCAGACCUGCGGCCUCACCGCGGGCCCAGUGCCCAGGCUGGAGCGCACACUUUGGUCCGCGCCCCAAAGACGCUGGGAGUCCGCACUGGCAUCACCUUCUGAGUUUCUGAUGCUGAUUUGUCGUUGCGAAGUUUCUCGUUUCUUCCUCUGACCUCCGAGGUCCCCGCUGCACCACGGGGUUGCUCUGUUCUCCUGUCCGGCCCAGACUCUUCUGUGUGGCGCCGCCGAAGCCACCGUUAGCGCGAGCUGCUCCGUUCGCCCUGCCCGCGGCCUGCGUGGCUGGCGCCGAGUCCCAGGGGCCGCACGGAGGGCACAGUCUCCUGUCAGGCUCGGAGAGGUCAGGAGACCGACCCCACCACUAACCUUGGAGAAAAUGUGGGUUUGCUUUUUAAAGGAAUCCUAUAUCUAGUCCUAUAUAUCAAACCUCUAACUGACGUUUCUUUUCGAGGAAGUGGCUUGGUGGGUGCAGCCCCCGCCGGUUCCGUUGACGCUGGCACCUUCUGUUGAUUUUUUAAGCCACAUGCUAUGAUGAAUAAACUGAUUUAUUUUCUACCAUUACUGAACAUUAGGACAAACAAAAAAUAAAAAACAAAACACAGACAA